ACGUGCCCAGUAAUGGGGGAUAGCCCGGCGAAAGCCGGAUUAAUACCGCAUACGACCUACGGGUGAAAGCGGGGGAUCGCAAGACCUCGCGUUAUUGGAGCGGCCGAUAUCAGAUUAGCUUGCUGGUGGGGUAAAAGCCCACCAAGGCGACGAUCUGUAGCUGGUCUGAGAGGACGACCAGCCACACUGGGACUGAGACACGGCCCAGACUCCUACGGGAGGCAGCAGUGGGGAAUUUUGGACAAUGGGCGCAAGCCUGAUCCAGCCAUGCCGCGUGUGGGAAGAAGGCCUUCGGGUUGUAAACCACUUUUGUCAGGGAAGAAACGGCUCUUACUAAUAUUAGGAGCUAAUGACGGUACCUGAAGAAUAAGCACCGGCUAACUACGUGCCAGCAGCCGCGGUAAUACGUAGGGUGCAAGAGUUAAUCGGAAUUACUGGGCGUAAAGCGUGCGCAGGCGGCUUUGCAAGACAGAUGUGAAAUCCCCGGGCUCAACCUGGGAACUGCAUUUGUGACUGCAUGGCUAGAGUACGGUAGAGGGGGAUGGAAUUCCGCGUGUAGCAGUGAAAUGCGUAGAUAUGCGGAGGAACACCGAUGGCGAAGGCAAUCCCCUGGACCUGUACUGACGCUCAUGCACGAAAGCGUGGGGAGCAAACAGGAUUAGAUACCCCUGGUAGAAUCACUAGUGAA
rnacentral:rRNA from 1 species